UCUCGGGCCGGGAGCCGAAGCCCCCGCCCACGUGGCGGCGGCUGCUGAAUCCCGCACUGCGGGAAGCGCCCCGCGCGGUUCCUCCCUCCACGCGGACUGAGCGAGAGGGGGCGGGCCCCAGCCCCGGCCGCUCAGAGGGGCUAGUUCCUCUCCCACCUUUCCAUCCUCGCACGCCGCUUCAGUCGCGUUUGUAAUCGCUCGUGGGAUUAAAAAAUACCUUAACACGAGAGGCGAAAUUCAGUCCAAAACCUGAAACGAGGCCUGCCGUGACGCCCAAGAUGAAGCAUCAAGCCCCCGAAAACCUGGAUCCGCCCCGGCCAUGCGUGUUCGUCCACCAAGCUGCAGACUCGGCCCAGAGAGCCGCGCACAUCCCAGCUGACGCGGGAGAAGGCGCUCCUCCACUUCGCUAAGACAAGGUCUCUUUCUUUCCGGGUCCUCCAAACCCCUAGAUUGCAGGCUGCAGAUUCUUAAGUAGAAAAACCAAAGACUAAAGGAGAAGCUAGGAUCCUCCAUCCUUGAAUAUAUGGUUGUGAAAGCGGCUCGCUUGGUUUUGGAGGGGCUCAUUUUUCUCCAGUUGUGCUGGAUUUCUCCAUCAGGGGGCGCCCACAGCCGCCACAAAACUCCCGGUUCCUAGACAUCUGGGUUCUGCAAGCCCGAAACAAGACAACUGGGGGCAGAUCCCAAGGAGCGCACCGCCUCCUUCUCUCCUCCCUCCUUGCCUGCCUCGGCGGACAGGGGAGGCAGGGAUUUCACACUAGCCAUUCAUUUGUCAGCCUUGGGGGAGGGGACGUAGGAGCGAGAGAGGCGCAGCAGAGGCUGGGAGAGAGGAAGGGAGGCAUAGAAGAUGGAGACAGAGAGGGAGAGACAAAGAUGAGAAACGGGACACAGAUAGCGAGACUGUCUUUCCGCCUGUGGGUGUGCGCACGGCGGGACAACACUCCGGGAGCCGCGUAGAUUUCUCCUCCCUCCCGCAGCAUCUCCCGGGGACGUGCUGGACUUGCUGAGGCACAGCUGGCUCCGAGGGCAAAGAGUUUAAGCGAUGACAUUUUUCUACCUCGCUCUCCGCUGCCUAACACAGUGAUCGCUCCACGCCCAGUGACACAGACAGCGAGCCGGGAGAACCCUGAUGCCCCCCAGUCAGCACGCACCAGGGAUGUCGCCCGGCGGCGCCCACGCCUCCGCAGGGCGGUGGGACGCUCCAGCCGAGGGCGUGCCCCGGGGCUCCCGGCACACGCUCUCCGCGGCCGCCCGACCCGCCUGUAAAGUUGCUCAACUAGAGCCCAGAGCUGGGAGGGGUUGGGGAGAUGGAAGGAAAAGGAGCACUGCUGUAGUCAGAGUGAGAGGGCUGGUCCUAGAGGCCCCAGAUUCGGGUCCCCGCGCCACCUUUGUCUGGAGAGCGCUCUGAGCGCUGGUUUGCUCGUUGAGACACGAGCGAAAACCUCCACUUCGCUCUUCAGGGUGAGAUAAAAUUCUUGCACAUCCCUGCGGUUCAGGGCAAGCUUUUCCCGCCCAGGCGCCUCCCAGCCCUCCGCGGCGCUCCAACAACCCCACCCCCAUCCCCUGCUCCCUCCCGGCCGGCCCCCGCGCACGGCGCGCAGGACAAAAGAACCCGGAGGCACCAGAGAGCCUUGACAGCCCCUAAGUCGCCAAAGAGGCGCGGCCGCGGACCCUGCACCUCCCUGGCCGGACCUCCUCCCAGGCUGCCUGCGGGCUGAGGGGUGCAGGUCCGCGCAGCUCCCGGGCUCCUGGGGCGCCCGAUCGCCCUGUCAGGAGCUGCCCGGGAGCAGCUUUCCAGGAACGCCAGGCACUGACCACACACCAGGGGAACCAGGUGGCCUGCACCCACGCGGCUUCGGGGACUUGUAUGUGGGCAAGUCUCGGGAGUCCCCAUUCAAACUUUUGCCUCGAGCAGGUUAACAAAAAGAUCAAGGUGCCGGGGGUCCCUCCCUCCUCUCCAGCUCAAGACCCCACGACUUUUCUAGGGGUUCUCUACAAUUUUCUUCCCUCCCUUCCCCCAAUUCCGUUAGUCCUUCUACCCCCACCCCACCCCGGGCUUCUUUUGUCUGGAUCUUUUUCAGCAUCACGGUGCCUCUGUAUUCCUCUCUCCAAACGUCCUUCUGAAAGUUACCUGCAUUUUUAAAGUGCCUAUAUUUUCUUAACUUUGCCUUACAGCUAGUUCUCUUUGCCUUGAUUAAAGCCUUCUACCAAUUACAA